GAACAAUUUUCCACUUAAACAAUAGUUUUUUCAUGUACUUGAUUUAGGAUAACCAUUUACCACUUAAUUAAGAGGAUUAACCAAGUAUUGACUUUUGCAUGCUAAGCAUAUGUUCAUAUGUCCAUCCACAUCAGCUUCCUGUGAACAUAUUCCUACUGAUAUAAUGUUUUGCAGCAACCAUAAGUAUACAUCUACACGUUUUUAUUGACCAGGACUUGUGUUUGAGAAUAAUUAGAAUGGUGCAUAUCAUUUCUAACUUAUCAAUUAUUAGGGUUUUGGAUCCCUAACAA
rnacentral:misc_RNA from 1 species